rnacentral:rRNA from 1 species
UAAUACGAAGGGGGCUAGCGUUGCUCGGAAUUACUGGGCGUAAAGCGCACGUAGGCGGACUGAUUAGUUGGUGGUGAAAGCCCAGGGCUCAACCUUGGAACUGCCAUCAAUACUGUCAGUCUGGAGCAGAGUAGAGGUGAAUGGAAUUCCAAGUGUAGAGGUGAAAUUCGUAGAUAUUUGGAGGAACACCAGUGGCGAAGGCGACUCACUGGACUCUUGCUGACGCUGAGGUGCGAAAGCGUGGGGAGCAAACAGG